AGGGAAAUAGCUCAGUGGUAGAGCACAGGCUUAGCACGCACAACGUCCUGGGUUCAAUCCCCAGUAUCUCCA
rnacentral:tRNA from 1 species